GCCUGGCUGGCUCAGUCAGUGGAGCGUGCAGUUCUUGAUCGCAGGGUUGUAGGUUCAAGCCCCACGUUGGGUA
rnacentral:tRNA from 1 species